CGACCGGCGCACGGGUGAGUAACACGUAUCCAACCUGCCGUCUACUCUUGGACAGCCUUCUGAAAGGAAGAUUAAUACAAGAUGGCAUCAUGAGUCCGCAUGUUCACAUGAUUAAAGGUAUUCCGGUAGACGAUGGGGAUGCGUUCCAUUAGAUAGUAGGCGGGGUAACGGCCCACCUAGUCUUCGAUGGAUAGGGGUUCUGAGAGGAAGGUCCCCCACAUUGGAACUGGGACACGGUCCAAACUCCUACGGGAGGCAGCAUG
rnacentral:rRNA from 1 species